rnacentral:rRNA from 1 species
UAGGGAAUCUUCCACAAUGGACGCAAGUCUGAUGGAGCAACGCCGCGUGAGUGAAGAAGGUUUUCGGAUCGUAAAGCUCUGUUGUUGGUGAAGAAGGAUAGAGGCAGUAACUGGUCUUUAUUUGACGGUAAUCAACCAGAAAGUCACGGCUAACUACGUGCCAGCAGCCGCGGUAAUACGUAGGUGGCAAGCGUUGUCCGGAUUUAUUGGGCGUAAAGCGAGCGCAGGCGGAAUGAUAAGUCUGAUGUGAAAGCCCACGGCUCAACCGUGGAACUGCAUCGGAAACUGUCAUUCUUGAGUGCAGAAGAGGAGAGUGGAAUUCCAUGUGUAGCGGUGGAAUGCGUAGAUGUAUGGAAGAACACCAGUGGCGAAGGCGGCUCUCUGGUCUGCAACUGACGCUGAGGCUCGAAAGCAUGGGUAGCGAACAGG